UACGUAGGUGGCAAGCGUUGUCCGGAAUUAUUGGGCGUAAAGCGCGCGCAGGCGGUCCUUUAAGUCUGAUGUGAAAGCCCACGGCUCAACCGUGGAGGGUCAUUGGAAACUGGGGGACUUGAGUGCAGAAGAGGAGAGUGGAAUUCCACGUGUAGCGGUGAAAUGCGUAGAGAUGUGGAGGAACACCAGUGGCGAAGGCGA
rnacentral:rRNA from 1 species